rnacentral:rRNA from 1 species
UACGUAGGGUGCAAGCGUUGUCCGGAAUUAUUGGGCGUAAAGAGCUCGUAGGCGGUUUGUUGCGUCGGCUGUGAAAUCCCGAGGCUCAACCUCGGGUCUGCAGUCGAUACGAGCAAACUAGAGUGUUGCAGGGGAGACUGGGAAUUCCUGGUGUAGCGGUGAAAUGCGCAGAUAUCAGGAGGAACACCGGUGGCGAAGGCGGGUCUCUGGGCAACAACUGACGCUGAGGAGCGAAAGCGUGGGGAGCAAACAGG